CCUACGGGCGGCUGCAGUGGGGAAUAUUGCACAAUGGGCGCAAGCCUGAUGCAGCCAUGCCGCGUGUGUGAAGAAGGCCUUCGGGUUGUAAAGCACUUUCAGCGGGGAGGAAGGCGUUAAGGUUAAUAACCUUGGCGAUUGACGUUACCCGCAGAAGAAGCACCGGCUAACUCCGUGCCAGCAGCCGCGGUAAUACGGAGGGUGCAAGCGUUAAUCGGAAUUACUGGGCGUAAAGCGCACGCAGGCGGUCUGUCAAGUCGGAUGUGAAAUCCCCGGGCUCAACCUGGGAACUGCAUUCGAAACUGGCAGGCUAGAGUCUUGUAGAGGGGGGUAGAAUUCCAGGUGUAGCGGUGAAAUGCGUAGUGAUCUGGAGGAAUACCGGUGGCGAAGGCGGCCCUCUGGACAAAGACUGACGCUCAGGUGCGAAAGCGUGGGGAGCAAACAGGAUUAGAUACCCCUGUAGUC
rnacentral:rRNA from 1 species